rnacentral:lncRNA from 1 species
CUCUGUUCACGGAAAGGGCCUGGGAGCUGCAACACCUCAACAGCAACAAGCACACCUGCUACCUAGAACUUGGUUUCUAAAAACCAUCCUCCUCUAAAAGGAAACAGAGCUCUUUGAAGAAACGGUAUUCUAAUAAUACUGCGUGACAUUACGGACAACUUAGCCUAAAUUAUGGAAAAUCAAAUUAUUUAGUAGAACUGCAAGACAAUCCUCUCAGUUGUUGUACAGAAGGUAAGCAUGAGCAAAUUACUUUUUAGAGGUAACUUUGCUGAACUUGUGAAGAAUGGUGUGCAAGGUCCAGAGCGACUGCAGGAGAGGGAAGGUGGGAUUCCCACAGAGCAGGAGCACAGAUAAGCCAAGCAAGGCCCUGCUUGGAAGGCAGCAAUCAACAGAGAUGCACAGACCUGUGAGGGUGCCGGGACAGCCAUGCAACAAUGCAGCCCUUUUGCUUCCUGAGCUCACCAGUUCCCUCGCUCCACCUCUGAGAGGUGGUUUGGAGAAACACAGCCCUUCUCAAGAGGGCUGCAAGCUACUUAAGUCCUGAAAAUUUCCACAAGGCUGAGUCAAAUCUGCGUUUCAUCAUCUAUAAGAAAGGUACCUAUCGAGAACACCCUGCUGGCCAGUGUGUAAAUAUCUAAAGGAGGACUCAGAAAACACCGGGGAAGUCCAGCCUGCACGUGGUGGCUGGGCUUCAGUGAAGCAUGCAGCACAACAGGAGUUGUAAGUAGUAGUUACAUCAGCAGCCCUGGAAAUUCUGCUCAGAACCAAACUGAACAAAUAACAUUAUCUAAGGCUUACAAUUAUUUAACUCCCUAAAUUUUCUGUCCUCCCAGUAGCACUUUCAAAUGCCUAAAAGCAAUUAAAAGAAACAUUUUUCCAAU